AUGCAGAAACAAAGACUCAGUACCCAGUACCAGUUAACAGGUGUUUAUUGUGGUUAUUAUUUAAAUUUAUAUCAUUUUUGGGCGGUCGUGACCCUGCUGGAGUCCGGAGGGGACCUCCAGCCCCCCGGGGCCACCUUGGCCCUCCUGUGCCGCGGCUCUGGAUUCAGUUUUGGGGGUUACGAAAUGAGAUGGGUCCGCCAGAGCUUCGGGAAGGGGCUUGAAUUCGUGACACUGAUCAGCGGCGAUGGAGGUUACACCUUCUAUGGGGCCUCGGUGCGGGGCCGGUUCUCGAUCUCCAGGGACAACGGGCAGAGCUCGGUGACGCUGACCAUGAACAGCCUCAAGGACGAGGAUUCCGCCGUUUAUUUCUGUGCCAAAUCUGUCGACAGUUGCUGCGCUGGUCCUGUCCUCAUGGUGUCCCACUAG